UUCUUUUUCUGAAAUUCACAG
rnacentral:piRNA from 1 species